UCGGUUAGGGGAUAGAGGAGACGCUUCGGAAACAAGGAGGCAGCGGGUCGUCCAUCCUCGUCUUCCGAUCUCCCCGUCGCGCUCGUGGAUUCCCGGUCACGGUACAUCGAGAUCUUGCGAUCGCGAUUUAUGCCAGCUUGCCGAUGGCAUAAAUGAUCUGGACGACAUCUACCGGAGACAGAAUUAUCAGUAUCUAUAGGAGAGAUCUGAUGAUAUGAAGUAGAAGAUGCAACAAAAGGUAGAUAAGGCUCCCACUGGCAUGGGACUGGGUUGAAGACCGCGACAUCAUCUUGGAGUUGACUCGCUCAUGUCGAUGCCGUGAUUCUGUUCCUGUCGGGAUGUCCCGCCGCUGAUGCUCCUCAUCACCAUGCCGCCCACUCCUAGG